AAGUCUUUCAUGGUGGCCAAUCCAAAUUUUUCAUCCCAAGCCUCCGCUAUGACUACCACUCAGUUAGGUUUGUCUGGUUCAUCAUCUUCAGGAUCGGGUAUCCAAGAGGCAGAUUGGGAUCGGGCGUAGAGUUGGAGAACUAUAUAUCUUGGACAGCUUGCAUGUUCCUCCAGAAGUGUCUUCUACUGCAUUGUCUUCUUUUUGUUUAAACAAUAAGUCAUCUUUGUUUUAUAUUUGGCAUUCUAGGUUAGGUCAUCUGUCGAGUGAUCGGUUGAGGAUGUUAGUUAGGUCUGGACAUUUAGGCAAUUUUCCCAUUAGUGAUAUUUCUGAGUGUCGUGGUUGUAAACUGGCUAAAAUGUCUGCUCUUCCUUUUAAUAAAAGUAGUUCUAUUUCAUCUUCUCCUUUUCAA